GACGAACGCUGGCGGCGUGCUUAACACAUGCAAGUCGAACGGAAAGGCCCUGCUUGCAGGGUGCUCGAGUGGCGAACGGGUGAGUAACACGUGGGUGAUCUGCCCCUUACUUUGGGAUAAGCCUGGGAAACUGGGUCUAAUACUGGAUAGGACCAUGCUGUAGGUGGUGUGGUGGAAAGAUUUUUUCGGUAAGGGAUGAGCUCGCGGCCUAUCAGCUUGUUGGUGGGGUAAUGGCCUACCAAGGCGUCGACGGGUAGCCGGCCUGAGAGGGUGGACGGCCACAUUGGGACUGAGAUACGGCCCAGACUCCUACGGGAGGCAGCAGUGGGGAAGAUUGCACAAUGGGCGCAAGCCUGAUGCAGCGACGACGCGUGGGGGAUGACGGCCUUCGGGUUGUAAACUCCUUUCAGCCAUGACGAAGCCUCUUUUGGGGUGACGGUAGUGGUAGAAGAAGCACCGGCUAACUACGUG
rnacentral:rRNA from 1 species